UGAUACUGUUGCAUUUCUAACACUUUUCUUACACUACUGUAGCUCUGAACGCUUUAUUAGGAACAGUUGGAAUUCAGACUAAAUGCAUUACCUAACGUUUAGACCACACAAACUGAUCUCAGCAUGAUUUCAAUGUAGUUUAAUCAGUAACACAUUCAAUAACACAUAC